rnacentral:rRNA from 1 species
UGCGUAGGUGGUUUCUUAAGUCAGAGGUGAAAGGCUACGGCUCAACCGUAGUAAGCCUUUGAAACUGGGAAACUUGAGUGCAGGAGAGGAGAGUGGAAUUCCUAGUGUAGCGGUGAAAUGCGUAGAUAUUAGGAGGAACACCAGUUGCGAAGGCGGCUCUCUGGACUGUAACUGACGCUGAGGCACGAAAGCGUGAGGAGCAAACA